UCUAAUAUGGCAGACUAGUGCAAUGGUCUUAAGAACCAAAUAUAAAGUAAUCUUUUUUUAGAA
rnacentral:tRNA from 1 species